AGCCUCCUUCCAAGAGGCUCGGAAGCCUCCUUCCAAGAGGCUCGGAAGCCUCCUUUCAAGAGGCUCGGAAGCCUCCUUCCAAAAGGCUUGGAAGCCUCUUUCCAAGAGGCUCAAAAGCAUCUUUUUAAGAGGCUCGGAAGCCUUCUUUCAAGAGGCUCGGAAACCUCCUUUCAAAAGGCUCAAAAAUCCCUUUCAAGAGACUCAAAAGCAUCUUUUCAAGAGGCUCAAAAGUGUCCUUUCAAGAGGCUCAGCAGCCUUCUUUGAAGAGGCUCAAAAUCCUCCUUUUCUACAGUCUCAAAAUCCUCCUUUCAAGAGGCUCAGAAGCCUUCUUUCAAGAGCCUAAAAAGCCUCCUUCCAAGAGGCUCCUAUCAAGAGGCUCGGAAGACUGCUUUCAAAAUCCUUUUAAGAGGCUGGGAAGCCUUCUUCCAAAAGGCUCGGAAGCCUUCUUUCAAAGGGCUCGGAAGCCUCUUUUCAAAAGGUUUGGAUGUCUCCUUUCAAGAUACUUCCAAGAGGCUCAAAAACCUCUUUCCAGGCUCAGAAGCCUCCUUUCAAUAGGCUCAAAAGCCUCCUUCCAAGAGGCUCGGAAGGCUCCUUUCAAGAGGGUAGUUUAAUGUAUGUGAAAAUGCAUCACGCGCGAGUUUACGAUUAGUUGAGUUGUUUUGGAUAUAGGUCAUCGAAGCAGGAUCGAGAUGUUGUCUUGUUCGUAGCACACGCAGUAAAGCCAGCUAGCUCCUGCAUGUUCAUUAUAUUUGUAGAAAUCUAUAAAAAAAACAUCUUAUGUACAUAUUGCGCUUUUUGCACUUUAUAAGAGUAUUGCGAGAUUUUUUUUCUCACAGUCAUCUUUUUCUCACACUCAAUACACUCAAAAAAGUUUGAUUUUCCGUGUAUAAUAUUUGUGUGUGAGUGCUCAAUCUGAAAACAAAUAGACGUCAAAUCAUGGCGGGAAUCGAUUUAGUGUACACGCUUACAUGUGACUAACGAGUAAUGGGUUAUAAUUGGGUAAAUUUCAGUAACAAAAAUCGAUCAACCCGAAAUGAGAGUGGGUGUGAGAAAAAGAAGCGAGCAAAUCACAAUCUACACAUAACUCUUCAAAUUGGUGAAAUCGGCAAUAUGAACAAUAGAAACCAAUUUGACACACGCUGAACACUACAACACUGACAAAAAUCCAAUCAUAUCCAUUAUGUGUGGCACACAUAAAUUUUGACUAUAGCAUUUCCCACUUAACGGCUAUGUGAAUUCGCAUAGCAUAUAUGUGGAAACACACAUAACCUUUAUGUGGAUUCUCCUAUAGCGGGUGGUUAUUAACGCACACAUAACAGUUAUUUGUUAAUUUCUUUAGAUUUUUGCCAAUAAAAAUGUGUGGAUUUUUAUUAGUGAAGAUUAGUUAUCGUUUGUAAAUAGGGAGAGUGGUAUACACCACAGGUAGGAGGCCACAUUUCAAGAGACUUAAAAGCAUGCUUUCUUGAGGCUCAAAAGUCUCCUUCUAAGAGGCUCGGAAGCGUCCUUUCAAGAGGCUCAGAACCCUCCUCCUUUCAAGAAGCUCGGAAGGCUCCUUUCGAGAGGCUCGGAAGCCCCCAUUCAAGAGACUCAGAAGUCUACUUUCAAGUGGUUCGGAAGCCUUCUUUCAAGAGGCUUGGAAGCGUCGUUUUAAGCUGCAAAGGAAGCCUCCUUUUUAGUGGCUCAAAAACCGCCUUCAAGAGGCUCGGUAUACCUCAGAAGCCUCUAAUGAAGAGGCGCGGAAGUCCACUUAAAAGGGAUUCAAAAGCUUAAAGAAAAUAUAUGGGCUAACUGUCAAAUUUUCCGUUUCCGUCGCCGUUCCGUUGUAUUGCGUUUGGGGCUUUAGAAUUGAAUAGAAUUUAGAAUUAGAAUUGGAUAUUCCAUUUCCGAUUCCACUUCUAUCGACAGCGAAAAAUCCACGGGGAUGACAAGCUACGCCAUCUUUGUCACAUCUUUUCUAAAUCACCAAUACGAGUGCACUGCGAAUGCAACAUAAACAAUUGCGAGGGUGAAAAUGAUAUAAAACGAACAAAGGCAUAAGACAGCACCUUGUGCAACUAGCAUUCUAAAUAAUUGAGCAAAUAAGUUGAACAUUCUUAAGUUUGAAGCAUGGAAUCGAGUGUAAAGUUAUUUUAGUUGAUAAUUCGUUAGCUUUUUCUCCAUUUUCUCAUGAUUGUAUCAUGUUGCAUUAUUAUGUGGUAUGGGCGUUUCGUAUCAUAUUCUCUUGUAAAAACGUAAACAUUCGAAAUUCGCGCACAUACUAUUGCAAAAUAAAUCAGUAUUGAGGUAAUUUGACACUGGGGGAUAAAUUUAUCCCUCAAAAAAGAACGAACAGGCAAACCUGUCAAAAUCCAUAGUAAAAAAAUUGGAUGUCGCUCCUCUGGAAAAAUCACACCAAAGAAAUACAAUCGUCGCUCGCGAAAUGUAAAAACAAAUAAAUAACAACUAUCUCUCAGUUCAGGUGUGACAAAUAUGCGUACAUUUUUCGCUUGGUCAGUGAAUUUCGCGGCAUAAGUGUCACAUUCGGGUUUUGAUUGAAAAAACGUGGGAAAAAUAGUUGUUUUUGGCAAUGUUUGAGUCCGGCUCAACGAAUAUGAAUAUUCUUCAUAAUUAUCCCAUGUACGUACACCCGCAUAAUUCUAAACCAUAGCAGAACAUCAAAGACUACGGUAUAUAGGGAAUCCAAGCAAACAUGGGACAAAUAUGCGUAUGACGGCAAUUUAUUGCGUUAAAGUCAAUAAAAAAGCGAAAUUUUGCGAUAAUAGGAUGAAUGCAUUUUGAAACUUCAAAUUGCGUUUUUCUCAUUUUUCUCGUUUGUAACAUGUGACAUUUAGGUGCCUGCCAGAGUAGACGCGUCUACGCGACGCCGCGCGAAAAUUGCACGCACAGGAAUAACAGUCAAUAAUAAGAAGCUGUCAAAUCGUAUGGACGCUUCGCUUCGCACUUCACGUCUACUCUGACCGCACCCUUAUGCAUCCGACGGCAGUAGCCUAUAAGUUGAAGGGCCAUUAUCCACUAGAACAAUAGAGGUAAUAAACUAUAGAGGAAGAUUGUCGCUGUCGUCACUGGCGAAACAUCUUUUAGGGCACUAAAUAUCAACGAAGGAAAAAUCAGUACGUUUUGACAGAUAGGUACCCAACAUGUUUCUGAACGACAACAAAGGGAACCGCAGCGACAAUCGUCCUCUAUAGUUUAUUACCUCUAUUACUAGAACUAUAGCGAAUAUGUUCUUCUUCUUCUUAUUGGCAUUACAUCCCACAUUGGGACUAAGCCGCCUCGCAGCUUUGUGUUCAUUAAGCACUUCCACAGUUAAUAACUGUGGGCAGCAGGGACUAUGUCCAAGGGCUUGACGAUCCCUCCCCAGACCAUCUGCGAGUUGUGGCGCCUGCCUAGGAUGUGGUGGGGUUUGACAGUGGGCCCUGUUAAACCUCUAUAAAAAGCUGCAUGUAUCCGCAAGUAGGCUCCGCCAAAGCGACCGUGUGCCGCUCAAAGCGCACAAGCCCAAGUCCUGGUGUUAGGUGCACGCAGCGUAAUUUUGUAUGAUUAAACUAAUGAAUAUCAUCACGCAGAAAAAACUACGUUAAGAACAAACAUAUUCUAGGUGAAUCCAAACAUAAAUUCAGUUUGUCCUGGCAUCAAAAAUAAAUAUGUUUGGAUCAAACAUAUUGUUGCAUUUGAAGCGAACGAAAACUUUUUUUGAAUCAAAUGUGCCUUUCAAGUUGUUUCAACCAGCUAAAUGUUUGAAGCAAACAUGGAUAUUAUUGUUUUGGUUCGACCACUCAUAAUAUUUUGAUAUCAAUUCUACCAAUUUUCAUAUUCUGGUAGCAUUUGACUACCAGAUUUCACAAUUCCAUAGGUUCAUAUUUCAUAAACUUACCUUUCUGUACCUGAAAAACAUCCUUAUCAUUUAUUUGGAAGCAAGAAAUCAUCUGCUUCUACUCUUGGUUCUACUCCUCUGCUGCUUCCGAUUGGAUCCGAUCCGAACUCGAGUGUUUGUUUACUUUUGCAAGAGCGAACGAGGGGCUGCCCACUGGUGAAUGUAUAAAACAAACAGGGAUUUAAUUUGGUUUUAAAAAUAAAUAUGUUUGAUUCAAACAUAUUACCAUUUUGGAAAUAAACAUGUAUAUUUUUGAAACAAAUGGAUGAAAUUUGUAUCCGUGAUUGUUGAAUCAAUAAACGGUCGAUUGUUGAAUUAAAAAAUGUAUAUUAUUGAAACUACAAUAUUCUUUGUUUGAAUCAACAAAAUAAUUGUCAUUUCAACAAUAUUUAUUGUUGAUUUUAACUUGCAUGAAUUUCUAUCAGCGUGUAUUUUUUGAAGUGUAGUUCCGUUUGCUGUUUGCUGUGAGAUGAACAAGAAAUGAAAAAGUGUUCUGUCAAGUAUUUUCGUAAUAGGAACUUCGCCACAUCACACUAUUUUAAAAACAACAGAUUUUAUGGACUUUACAGUUUUACAGAAGAUUUACGGAAAAAAGAUGACCGGAAGAAAGGAUCAAAACCGACAUAAACAUAACCAUGGAGGACGUGUAUUUCGGAAACAACAAUAAGUACGUUCAUUGGGCGAUGUUGUAUAUGGUUUUCAAAUAUUAAUAAAUUAUGUUAAAUAAAAUUGAUAUAUUUAUACUGAA